GUUCUUAUAGUUGAAUAACAACAACAGUUUUUCAGAUUGGAGGUCUUAGUUAAAGUCUAGGUAAGAAUA
rnacentral:tRNA from 1 species